CAGCAGCCGCGGUAAUACGAGGGGGGCGAGCGUUGUUCGGAAUUAUUGGGCGUAAAGGGUGCGUAGGCGGUUUGGUAAGUCUGAUGUGAAAUCUAUGGGCUCAACUCAUAGUCUGCAUCGGAAACUGCCGGGCUUGAGUAUGGGAGAGGUGAGUGGAAUUCCUGGUGUAGCGGUGAAAUGCGUAGAUAUCAGGAGGAACACCUGUGGCGAAAGCGGCUCACUGGACCAUAACUGACGCUGAUGCACGAAAGCUAGGGGAGCAAACAGG
rnacentral:rRNA from 1 species